AUUUCAGCUGGCUUAAUCCUGAGCAGGCUUGUGCAGGCUCACUUCUCCUGAUCGAUACCCAAAGAUCCUCCACCUCCAAACAGCUUUGCUGUCAUAUCCUGAAUGCUGUCACUUCCUGACAAUGUCCCACAUCAGAAAUCUUGAGGUUCAGUAAGUACUCUCCGCCCACACCCUCCCACUGUUCCUUAUACUGAGUGCUUCCUCUCUAACUUCACUAGGAUUUCCAGUCCUUGUGCUUUGAAUUUAGAGUCUGACAUUAUUUCAUGAAUCCAUGACAAUCCUGCUUCCAUACCCAGCAGCCAAUCUGAUUCUUUAUCCCUUCUCAACUCUUUUUCUCUCCUCCAUCUCUCUACAGUGUAUGCCUCCUCCAUCUCUCUGCACUGUAUCCCUCCUCCAUCUCUCUCUGCACUGUAUCCCUCCACCAUCUCUCUCUGCACUGUAUCCCUCCACCAUCUCUCUCUGCACUGUGUCCCUCCUCCAUCUCUCUGCACUGCAUCCCUCCUCCAUCUCUCUACACUGCAUCCCUCCUCCAUCUCUCUGCACUGCAUCCCUCCUCCAUUUCUCUCUGCACUGUGUCCCUCCUCCAUCUCUCUGCACUGUAUGCCUCCUCUAUCUCUCUCUGCACUGUGCCCCUCCUCCAUUUCUCUCUGCACUGCGUCCCUCCUCCAUCUCUCUCUGCACUGUGUCCCUCCCCCAUCUCUCUC
rnacentral:lncRNA from 1 species